rnacentral:rRNA from 1 species
GAUGAACGCUGGCGGCGUGCCUAAUACAUGCAAGUCGAGCGAACGGACGAGAAGCUUGCUCCUCUGAUGUUAGCGGCGGACGGGUGAGUAACACGUGGAUAACCUACCUAUAAGACUGGGAUAACUUCGGGAAACCGGAGCUAAUACCGGAUAAUAUCUUGAACCGCAUGGUUCAAGAGUGAAAGACGGUCUUGCUGUCGCUUAUAGAUGGAUCCGCGGCGCAUUAGCUAGUUGGUAAGGUAACGGCCUACCAAGGCGACGAUGCGUAGCCGACCUGAGAGGGUGAUCGGCCCCCCCGGGACUGAGACCCGGGCCAGACCCCUUAGGGAGGCAGCAGUAGGGAAUCUUCCGGAAUGGGCGGAAGCCUGACGGAGCAACGCCGCGUGAGUGAGGAAGGUCUUCGGGUCGUAAAACUCUGUUGAUAGGGAAGAACGAGCGGGGAAGUAACUGCGCAAAUCAUGACGGUACCUUAGAAGAAAACCCCGGCUAACUACGUG